rnacentral:rRNA from 1 species
GAUGAACGCUGGCGGCGUGCCUAAUACAUGCAAGUCGAGCGAACGGACGAGAAGCUUGCUUCUCUGAUUUUAGCGGCGGCCGGGUGAGUAACACGUGGAUAACCUCCUUUUAAGACUGGGAUAACUUCGGGAAACCAGAGCUAAUACCGGAUAAUAUUUUGAACCGCUUGGUUCAAAAGUGAAAGACGGUCUUGCUUUCACUUAUAGAUGGAUCCGCGCUGCAUUAGCUAGUUGGUAAGGUAACGGCUUACCAAGGCAACGAUGCAUAGCCGACCUGAGAGGGGGAUCGGCCACACAGGGACUGAGACACGGUCCAGAGUCCUACGGGAGGCAGCAGUAGGGAAUCUACCGCAAUGGGCGAAAGCCUGACGUAGCAACGCCGCGUGAGUGAUGAAGGUCUUCGGAUCGUAAAACUCUGUUAUUAGGGAAGAACAUAUGUGUAAGGAACGGUGCACAUCUUGACGGUACCUAAUCAGAAAGCCACGGCGAACUACGU